GGGGUACUCGAGUGGCGAACGGGUGAGUAACACGUGGGUGAUCUGCCCUGCACUUUGGGAUAAGCCUGGGAAACUGGGUCUAAUACCGAAUACACCCUGCUGGCCGCAUGGUCUGGUGGGGGAAAGCUUUUGCGGUGUGGGAUGGGCCCGCGGCCUAUCAGCUUGUUGGUGAGGUUACGGCUCACCAAGGCGACGACGGGUAGCCGGCCUGAGAGGGUGACCGGCCACACUGGGACUGAGAUACGGCCCAGACUCCUACGGGAGGCAGCAGUGGGGAAUAUUGCACAAUGGGCGCAAGCCUGAUGCAGCGACGCCGCGUGGGGGAUGACGGCCUUCGGGUUGUAAACCUCUUUCAGUAGGGACGAAGCGCAAGUGACGGUACCUACAGAAGAAGGACCGGCCAACUACGUGCCAGCAGCCGCGGUAAUACGUAGGGUCCGAGCGUUGUCCGGAAUUACUGGGCGUAAAGAGCUCGUAGGUGGUUUGUCGCGUUGUUCGUGAAAACCGGGGGCUUAACCCUCGGCGUGCGGGCGAUACGGG
rnacentral:rRNA from 2 species